rnacentral:rRNA from 1 species
AACGAACGCUGGCGGCAUGCCUAACACAUGCAAGUCGAACGAGACCUUCGGGUCUAGUGGCGCACGGGUGCGUAACGCGUGGGAACCUGCCCUUAGGUUCGGAAUAACUCCCCGAAAGGGGUGCUAAUACCGGAUAAUGUCUUCGGACCAAAGAUUUAUCGCCUUUGGAUGGGCCCGCGUUGGAUUAGCUAGUUGGUAGGGUAAAAGCCUACCAAGGCGACGAUCCAUAGCUGGUCUGAGAGGAUGAUCAGCCAGACUGGGACUGAGACACGGCCCAGACUCCUACGGGAGGCAGCAGUGGGGAAUAUUGGACAAUGGGCGAAAGCCUGAUCCAGCAAUGCCGCGUGAGUGAUGAAGGCCUUAGGGUUGUAAAGCUCUUUUACCCGGGAUGAUAAUGACAGUACCGGGAGAAUAAGCACCGGCUAACUCCGUG